rnacentral:rRNA from 1 species
GAUGAACGCUGGCGGCGUGCCUAAUACAUGCAAGUCGAGCGAACAGACGAGGAGCUUGCUCCUCUGACGUUAGCGGCGGACGGGUGAGUAACACGUGGAUAACCUACCUAUAAGACUGGGAUAACUUCGGGAAACCGGAGCUAAUACCGGAUAAUAUAUUGAACCGCAUGGUUCGAUAGUGAAAGACGGUUUUGCUGUCACUUAUAGAUGGAUCCGCGCCGCAUUAGCUAGUUGGUAAGGUAACGGCUUACCAAGGCAACGAUGCGUAGCCGACCUGAGAGGGUGAUCGGCCACACUGGAACUGAGACAGGGUCCAGACUCCUACGGGAGGCAGCAGUAGGGAAUCUUCCGCAAUGGGCGAAAGCCUGACGGAGCAACGCCGCGUGAGUGAUGAAGGUCUUCGGAUCGUAAAACUCUGUUAUUAGGGAAGAACAAAUGUGUAAGUAACUAUGCACGUCUUGACGGUACCUAAUCAGAAAGCCACGGCUAACUACGUG